AUGAGCUGUUUUAAGCUAACCAAGAAGGUUUGUAAAAGCCUUGCUUCCUGUCUAGCUAAGUAUUGGUGGAGCAGCUCCCUCGACCGCAGAUCUUUGCACUGGAAGGCAUGGGACUCUCUAUCAAAGUCGAAAGCGAAGGGAGGGAUGGGUUUUCGGGAUCUUGAGAUGUUCAACACGGCUCUACUCGGGGAACACGGUUGGCGUAUGAUGACAAACCCUAACUCCCUCUAUGCCCGAGUUCUUAAAGGAAGAUACUACCCUACUGGCGACUUUAUGCAAGCCAUAGUUCCUCGCUGCGCCUCAUCAACUUGGCGAGCUAUAAUCGCUGGGAGGGAUGCCUGCAGGUUGGCCUCCUCAAACGCAUAG
rnacentral:rRNA from 1 species